AGCUACUGGAGCCCAUGUGGUAAAAGC
rnacentral:piRNA from 1 species